rnacentral:rRNA from 1 species
GACGAACGCUGGCGGCGUGCCUAAUACAUGCAAGUCGAGCGGACGAUUCGAAAGCUUGCUUUUGAAUCGUUAGCGGCGGACGGGUGAGUAACACGUGGGCAACCUGCCCUGUAGACGGGGAUAACACCGAGAAAUCGGUGCUAAUACCGGAUAACACGAAAUGUCGCAUGACGUUUCGUUGAAAGGCGGCGCAAGCUGCCGCUACAGGAUGGGCCCGCGGCGCAUUGGCUAGUUGGUGAGGUAACGGCUCACCAAGGCGACGAUGCGUAGCCGACCUGAGAGGGUGAUCGGCCACACUGGGACUGAGACACGGCCCAGACUCCUACGGGAGGCAGCAGUAGGGAAUCUUCCGCAAUGGACGAAAGUCUGACGGAGCAACGCCGCGUGAGCGAAGAAGGCCUUCGGGUCGUAAAGCUCUGUUGUUAGGGAAGAACAAGUAACGUAGUAACUGACGUUACUAUGACGGUACCUAACGAGAAAGCCACGGCUAACUACGUG